rnacentral:pre_miRNA from 1 species
CUAAAUCAAACAUUGGCCGUCCUAGCAAGAGCAUGGGCAACCAAAUUUGGCGCUAUCCAUUCGAGAAGACUGGGCAAUUCAAAAUAUAGUUUAAUUGUUAACGACAUUAUUCUUCUUAUGUAAACUUUGAGGUUAAGUUUGUUCGAAGACAAACAAAUUUGGUUGCUCAUACUCUUGCUCGGACGGUCAAUGUUUGAGUUAG